AGAGAGAGAGAGAGAGAGAGAGAGAGAGAGAGAGAGAGAGAGAGAGAGAGAGAGAGAGAGAGAGAGGAAAGUAGCCCGGGGCGAAUGGUUAUCGACGAAAGUCGGGAUGAAACAAAAGUUGGAAAACUCGUUCCAUCCCCUUUCUCGAGUUCUUCUUUCCGUUCGACCUGUUGCCAGAAUUCCUUGCUUUCGAGCAAGGUCGAAGCGAAAUAGGAUAUUUCGACCACCGUGUUUUUUUCCCCCCAUCGUUCGAGAUGCGCGCAAUUUCCAAAUAGUUCUCCUCGCCGCACCGGAUCAAAUUUUCCUUUGUUAACGGCCUCCGAUGUUUCGAUCAAAUUCGAGACGCGCGCUUUAACUUUAAUCCUUAAUCCUUUCUAACUUCCUAACUUUCGUGAGAGAGAGAGAGAGAGAGAGAGAUUGUGUUUCGAAAGAAUUCGAUCUUUUUCCGAUCGUUCGAACAAUUAAAACUCCGUAACUUGGAAUAUAUUCAUUUAUACAAUGGAUAACGAAAGUAUUCGAACGUAUUAUAUUUACAAUUUUUCAUGAAAGGAACAACUUAUUUAAGACUCUCUAAUAAGAGAGGAAAUCUCAAAAUUUGAAAAUGAUUCAUUGUAGUUGUAACAUGUUUGUUAUAUAUUUAUUAACAAAUUGCAAAAGUAUUGGUACGAAAGUACGAGAGCAUUUUUACGUUCACUCGAGCUAUCGUUAUUUCAUUAAUAAAAGUGUGAAACACGAGAAACUAUCCUGCAUAAGGGAAUGGGAAAUCAUAUAGCGAGAUAGAAAAAAUUAAAAAAAAAACGGAAAUAAAUCUACGUUAUCAUCGUAAAAAAACUAAAAAAAGAACGGUUGCGAAUAAAGCUAUAUAUAGGCCGGACUCGAGAGACGAGAGAGAAAGGUGAACGAUGUCCAAUUAGACGGUCGGAGAUCGAUGGAGAAAAGCGGACAGCGAUUACGUAACUUUAAGCGAAAGAUGAAAGAGAAGCAGGAGGAUUCGAAAAUCAGGAUCAGCCUUCGUUUUCGUAGACAGCGAGAUCGUUUUCGUAAACUCUUUGACAGGGUAUUCGGGAGAGGGAGGGAGGAGAGGUAAAUUCGAAUCGCGACGGUUUUGUAACCGGUAACUCCCCUUUGCUCCUUAUUUGCAUGUAAAUUGCCGACCGUGCGACGACACGGCGGGAACACGACGGAGAAAAAUAUAAAGGAAGAGUAUCUCUCUCUCUCUCUCUUUGUUCGCUUGUUAUUCGUCCGAUCGAACAUUGAAGAAUUCGUUAGAUUGGGUUGAAAAAAAAGAAAGAAAGAGACGCGCGAAUAACGAUAAUGCGUUACGAAGUCGCAGCAGAAACGGACUCGUCAUCGACGCGUAAAUUUAGCGUUUGUAUUUUUCUCUUUUUCUUCCCUCUCUCUCUGUCCCCUUCUUCUGUUCGAAUCGCUCGGUCGAGAAUCAAUCGCGCGGAAACUGGACGUUUCGAAGAGUGCGGCGGUGCCGUUAUCCGCGAUGGAAAUCGUACACGCGCAUGCGCGCGACACACGAACACGAACGCGAAAUACGCGCGCACGGUCGGAUCGCCGUCCCUGUUCUCCUAAGGGAGAGGGGAGGGGGGCGAAUUCCGAUCCAUCCGAAGGAACACCACUCGCAUAGAGCAAGUUUACUCGUUGUACAUAUUAUACAUAUUACACGGUACAGUAACGAAAUGAAUAUUCGAUAUGGAGUAAAUGUUGCAUCGCAUUAUUAUAUUUUAUAAUAAAAUUGAAAUAAACCGACGGCGAUUGGUAUUGUUCUUUUCAUCUCCCUCCCACCCUGCCAACAGAUCGAUCGGUCGAUAAAGCAGCUAGCUGUGUAUCAUCGUUCCGCACGGAUUGCGAUGGUCGUCGAUCGGGAAGAUCGAAACGAGACAAUUGGCGACGACACGAGAUGGCUGGAAACAAAAGGGCGAAAUUAAUCGGCCGAGGUGUCGUAUGUCGAACGAGUGUAGUGAAUUUUUCGGCGAGAACCAUUACUUUGUCCGAGCCAUUGUCCUCGAAAUUGGACGGGAAGAGUUUUUAUCGACCGAGAGCCACUGUUGUUUGGAUCGUUCUCUCUCUCUCUCUUUCUCUCCCUCUUCCUCUUUUUUUGUUUUACUCCCGAUUUAAUUGGAAUCCAGUUCUUCGCUUCGUCCAAUCGGCGCGAAUCGGUGGUAAACACGGUGGACAAACACCGGCGGGAUCGACUUUUGUAAAUCGUUAAAUCGAGCGAUACGCGCGAGAUCCGAGGAAAAGACGCGAACCGAGAGAAGAAUGGCGAUCGUUCCUCGUUUAACGGGAGGAGGAAUCGAAGGAGACGGGAGAACGGGGGGAUUCUUGCACGAGUUUGCAGGGAAAAAGGCUCUCCUUCGUCGAGACUACUUCGCUCCCUUUGCGAAUACUCCGACACUCGUCGAGUAUCCUUCGAGGAGUACGUCUUUUUUGUCCCGAGUCGAUUCGCUCCCGUAUUUACGAUUCUUCUUCUCGACCACUUCUUCUCGUUGCUUCGUAUUUCUUCCCGUCGCUGGUUUAAAACCCGCCUUGUGGAUCGAUCGCCACGGCCGUGGUUGUCCCGUUGAAUAAACAAGUAAUCGCUCGAUCGUCUCGCGAGUCUGGUGGAUAAUUAACGUGGGAAGGCGAUUGUGGUGCGGUGAAUUUUCAAGUGAGAUGAGGAGAUGUCGAUGAAUUUCUCGUGUCGUGUCGAGAACGACGCGCGACGAUGCGUGAGAAAAAUUGGUGGCGCGAUAAGGAGCAACGAGGUCGGAUGGAUUUUUUUUUCGAAGAAAAAAUCGAUCGUUUCGAUCGAUGGAAGCGUAUUAUUAUCGUGUGUGUGUGUGUGCAAAUAAAUUCUUUCCCCUUUUUUUUUCUAAAUUCAAAAUUUUAUUACAUAAAUCAGAUAAAAGAUUACCCAAUUGUUUUAAUCGAAUAGAUAUAGCUUGUCUCUGGUGACUCCCAAUCUUUCUUGUCAAUCCUUCUCACGUCUGGGUCGGAUCUUCGUCGAGAGAUUCUUCUAACUCGUCGAAUUUUCUCGAUGCAUCUGAAUGAUAGCCGUUUCCCAAAUUAAAAUUUCCGGUUUUAAAUCUUUGUUACGACUUUUCGCACAUUCUCUCUGCCGCCAUUUCGAUAGCUUCAACGGUCGAUUUCCUAACCUGGAACGUAAAAAGUAAACAGCGAACGAUGCUUCUCGCACGCCGUAUCGUUUGAAACGUUGCACGGAACUGAAAACUGUUAAAAACUGUUAAAAACGAAAGAACGCUUUUUAGCAUCACGAACGAGAAUUGAUUCGAAUUCGAUCAGAAAUUAUGAUCGUAGAAACAAAAAGGAAGGAACUUGUACACUUAAUAUAUAUUGGAUUAUUCAGAAAGUAAUUUCAUUUCUUCACACGAGCGUCGCUACGUGUCGAACGUCGUUUAUCCACAGCCAACUUCACUCUAAACCGUGUUGCAAUUAUACAUGUGAGAGUUGACACUUCACGGUUUAUUUAUAAGAAAAAUUCGUUCGAUUCUGUUGUGCGAUUGUGUUUCUCGUGCUCAAUAACAAAGAUGCGAGGCCAGAAAGAACAGUUUCGGUAUAUUUUACUUUUUUAUUCAUACGAAAAGUUUAAGAAUGUCGUUCAGGCAAGAGAAAAGUUUCGCGAAGUAUACGAAGAAGAUAUCAACGGUGUACAAGUGGUUUUCAUUCCGACGAAGAUAAAAUAAACUACAGAUCGAAACAAACCAACGAAUAACAAUUCGAGAAAUUGCCACGAGAUCGAAUUCAUCGAAUUUAAUUGUUCGUGAAAUGACUUGAUCAUGAAAAAAGAACGAAAUUUUUUCGAACAACCCAACACACAUACACAUAUAUAUAUUUAUAUAAAAGAUUUCGAUAUCGAACGUUAGAAGCGUAUGGAGGGGCGGGUAUUUUCUUGAUGAAAAGCUAUUUGGCCGUUAGUUUGUUGCGAGUUAGCGGCUAACUUUUCGCUCGGUUUACUCGCGAGAGCUCGCGUGUGUCGCUCUCCUGUUCCUUCGAAUCGAGCUGUCAGGGAAUAAGCGAGCUAACGCGAUCCAUGUCUUUGAUCUUCUUCUCGAGACGUCUAACUCUCUCUCUCUCUCUCUCUCUCUCUCUCUCUGUUUCCAUUUGCUUAUCAUACACCACUUUCCAGGGCUGAUGAUCGAGAGUUUCUUUGAGAAAGUAAAGAACAAAGGGACGAGAGAAAGGUGUGUCGCGAGAAAUAUACGGACGAAUCGAGAUUUGGCACGAAAGGUGGCCUCGAGAGAGAGAAAGAAAGAGAGGGAGAGAAGCGUCCGUGCUUGUUCUCGCCACGGGGCCGAUAAAUUGCAUUUAGAGGUAGCAAACCGACGGCCAGCCCGUAAAACCGAUGCAAAGAGGGAAGAAGGACCGCAUAAGGAGAUUUCCAGCUGGAAUCUACGUGCGAAGUAGCACUCGUCGUUCGAGAUCUGGCCCCCCCCCCGUCUCCUCUUAUCUCCGUUCGAUUCUUCUUCCCUUCGAAAAGUCAAGAAAUAAAACAGCGAUUUAAAAAAUUUAAAAUUACUACACCACGGAUUUACGGAUCGACCGUCUUCCUUCUCGAGAUCGGAUCGCUCCCAGUCAUGAAAUUUGCAAAGUCAUCUGCUCGCGUCCCUCGUGCAAGGAAAUCCCAUCACGCGGUUGAUUUAUCUCAGUUUCCGUUCGCGCACGAAUUUAACCUCUUCGCUCGACCGGCCCCGCGCUUUAAUCGCGCAAGAAUCGAUCCGGGAAAUCCUCUCUUAUUAUCCCCCGAUUUAUCCUCCCAAGAAGAUCCAAGAACACCCCCCUCCUCUCUUGGCGCGUUCGAAAAGUCGAAUCCUCGAUCGAAUCGACCAACCAAUCGACCAAUCGACGUGGCGGAGUCGUGAAGAGGCGCGUCGCCACACUCGCCGUUGCCCCUCCCCUCUCCCCUCCCAUCAUAACGAUUUCGUCCAGGGAUCUCGUCUCAACAAUCGACUCUUUUCCACCACCACCGAUCGAAUUUUUGUUUAACGAUAAAAGUCAACGAUUCGAAAAUCUCUUCUCCUUCUACUCGAAACAGAUUCGACGACAAAUCGAUGGUUUCUCGCCAGAAACGUGGGGAAAAAAAUUUAUGUUUCUUAGUAUUUAACCUGCUGUGAUAAUCGAAAGAUCGGGUGGUUGAACAAUAUGGUCGUGAUUUUCAGGAUAGAGGGGAGGGGAGGCGGAUAAAGCGGAAAGAGAGGGAAGGAGGAAGGGAGGGGGGCGAUCGUGUUUCGACUUUAGACUCCGGAGGAUGAAUAUUUGUUCAACUCGUCCCUCCGGGCCGUGCGCGCCGCUACGUUGCCUAUAAAUACUGCUUUGUAUGCAUGCUGGCUGAGCGGACCGCCAACCACGGAUAAUAGGAAGGAAACCCCGGAGAAGCUACUUUGUCUAGCUCCUUCGCCACCCCUCCUCUUCGCUUCGUUCCUUCCUCUCUUACUCACUACCUCGCUCCCCACCCUCCCCAUGCUCUUAUCCUGGCGACGACGCAACGUAAUAGCGGUGGACCGCGGCGCUCUUCCCUCGCAACAGCUAUUACGUUUCCAAGAAUAAUUAUCAACUCUCGACACCUACGCCGCCACCGAGUUAUUCGAAUUCUCGCCACGAUUCCGUCGACCGUGCAGACACGAAGAAAACGAGCAACUGUUGCGGCAAGUUCUUCUCGCUUCUGUUGUCCACUUCUCGCGAACGACGGGCCGCGAUGAUUGGCGAAUAGGAGUUGGUGGAGAUGGAAAGUUGGAAGGGGAAGGACCUCGCGUGGAACGCACAUUAGGGAGGGGGGCAGAGAGAAAGAUUGACAUUGGUCGACCGAAAUUGGGCCGUUUUAGUUAACGACAGGCGGCGAAACAGGUUCGCGAGAAGUUUCUCGCGCGAGAUCGAUCGGAGGAAAGUUCAGGGAGAGAAAAGUCGGGAAAGGUGAAAGUUUUUGACGAGUUUUUCAACCUUCGAAGCGAAAGAACGACGGUUAAUUUGGUGUUCGAAAGCGAAGGGGGAGAGAGAGAGAGAGAGAGUCGAAUCGAGUCGAGACGAUUAAUGGAGGGAGGAGUUUGACACGAGUGGAGAGACACGAAACGUUAAUGCAACGCGUUCUCCGUUAUCUCGAUAAUUACGCGAAUUCUCUUUCUGUGCCUGUCGAUGCGAUAGGCACAAUUUUCCAUGCCUAGGAUAACGGAUGAGGAUGCGAAAGAGAAUCGUCGAACGUGAAUCGCAUCGAACGGAUCCAACAGGUAGAAUUCUCUUCCCUUUGUCGGCGAAUCGCAAGGAUUAUCUCCGGUUGCAGGAAAAAUUCGUUCGAAGCGCCGCACCACGGUCACGAAACGGAAGAUGGAAUAUCGGGCAAAAGGAGGAAGGGAUCCGCGUGGUGGUGGGGGACGGAUAGAGACGACGAAAGCAACGAGGAUUUUUCUUCUCUCCGGUGGCAAACAUGGGAAUUACCUGUUGUACGACGGGAUGGGUGGACAAUCCGUGCGGCCAUUUAUCAAAUUGAACGAGAGAAUCCAGCGAUGGACCCGUCGCGGUUUCCGUCACUGGAAAAAGGCGAAAAGAAGAAGGACGAGAAGAUGGAGGUGGGGAGGAGACGAAAGACGUGGAAAAGCCAGUUCGCGACCGUGGACGAAAGGUUUGUUUAACUUCCUCUUAGUUUCUAUUUUCAAAAAUAAUGGUCGAGAGACGAAGGCUUUAGAUCGAAUCAAUUGGAAUAAAAU